rnacentral:rRNA from 1 species
ACGGAGGAUGCGAGCGUUAUCCGGAUUUAUUGGGUUUAAAGGGUGCGUAGGUGGCUUAUUAAGUCAGCGGUGAAAGUUUGUGGCUUAACCAUAAAAUUGCCGUUGAAACUGGUUAGCUUGAGUAUAUUUGAGGUAGGCGGAAUGCGUGGUGUAGCGGUGAAAUGCAUAGAUAUCACGCAGAACUCCGAUUGCGAAGGCAGCUUACUAAACUAUAACUGACACUGAAGCACGAAAGCGUGGGGAUCAAACAG